rnacentral:rRNA from 1 species
UCGAGCGAACGGACGAGAAGCUUGCUUCUCUGAUGUUAGCGGCGGACGGGUGAGUAACACGUGGAUAACCUACCUAUAAGACUGGGAUAACUUCGGGAAACCGGAGCUAAUACCGGAUAAUAUUUUGAACCGCAUGGUUCAAAAGUGAAAGACGGUCUUGCUGUCACUUAUAGAUGGAUCCGCGCUGCAUUAGCUAGUUGGUAAGGUAACGGCUUACCAAGGCAACGAUGCAUAGCCGACCUGAGAGGGUGAUCGGCCACACUGGAACUGAGACACGGUCCAGACUCCUACGGGAGGCAGCAGUAGGGAAUCUUCCGCAAUGGGCGAAAGCCUGACGGAGCAACGCCGCGUGAGUGAUGAAGGUCUUCGGAUCGUAAAACUCUGUUAUUAGGGAAAAACAUAUGUGUAAGUAACUGUGCACAUCUUGACGGUACCUAAUCAGAAAGCCACGGCUAACUACGUGCCAGCAGCCGCGGUAAUACGUAGGUGGCAAGCGUUAUCCGGAAUUAUUGGGCGUAAAGCGCGCGUAGGCGGUUUUUUAAGUCUGAUGUGAAAGCCCACGGCUCAACCGUGGAGGGUCAUUGGAAACUGGAAAACUUGAGUGCAGAAGAGGAAAGUGGAAUUCCAUGUGUAGCGGUGAAAUGCGCAGAGAUAUGGAGGAACACCAGUGGCGAAGGCGACUUUCUGGUCUGUAACUGACGCUGAUGUGCGAAAGC